GAUGAACGCUGGCGGCGUGCCUAAUACAUGCAAGUCGAGCGAACAGACGAGGAGCUUGCUCCUCUGACGUUAGCGGCGGACGGGUGAGUAACACGUGGAUAACCUACCUAUAAGACUGGGAUAACUUCGGGAAACCGGAGCUAAUACCGGAUAAUAUAUUGAACCGCAUGGUUCAAUAGUGAAAGACGGUUUUGCUGUCACUUAUAGAUGGAUCCGCGCCGCAUUAGCUAGUUGGUAAGGUAACGGCUUACCAAGGCAACGAUGCGUAGCCGACCUGAGAGGGUGAGCGACCAAACUGGAACUGAGACACGGUCCAGACUCCUACGGGAGGCAGCAGUAGGGAAUCUUCCGCAAUGGGCGAAAGCCUGACGGAGCAACGCCGCGUGAGUGAUGAAGGUCUUCGGAUCGUAAAACUCUGUUAUUAGGGAAGAACAAAUGUGUAAGUAACUAUGCACGUCUUGACGGUACCUAAUCAGAAAGCCACGGCUAACUACGUG
rnacentral:rRNA from 1 species